AGAGUUUGAUCAUGGCUCAGAACGAACGCUGGCGGCAUGCCUAACACAUGCAAGUCGAACGAAGCCUUCGGGCUUAGUGGCGCACGGGUGCGUAACGCGUGGGAAUCUGCCCCUCGGUUCGGAAUAACAGUUAGAAAUGACUGCUAAUACCGGAUGAUGACGAAAGUCCAAAGAUUUAUCGCCGAGGGAUGAGCCCGCGUAGGAUUAGCUUGUUGGUGGGGUAAUGGCCCACCAAGGCGACGAUCCUUAGCUGGUCUGAGAGGAUGAUCAGCCACACUGGGACUGAGACACGGCCCAGACUCCUACGGGAGGCAGCAGUGGGGAAUAUUGGACAAUGGGCGAAAGCCUGAUCCAGCAAUGCCGCGUGAGUGAUGAAGGCCUUAGGGUUGUAAAGCUCUUUACCAGGGAUGAUAAUGACAGUACCUGGAGAAUAAGCUCCGGCUAACUCCGUG
rnacentral:rRNA from 1 species